GAAACUCCGGGCGGCCGCUCAGCUUCCCUUUGCCUUCUCCAACGGGGCCGCCAGAAAGGAACAUGGCGACUGCGACCUCGCGCCUGGGUCCUAGCAAGUGACAGCGUCGGCCACUGCCCGGGCGGGGCCGGACAGGCUGGGGCUGGAGCGUGGGAGAUGGGGUGCUGCUGUUUGUAGAUAAAAGUACGAAUCGACACUGCAAGUCUCGGGUUGCGGGGGGCACUCUGUGCUUCCAUAAAGUACCAACAGGAGCGUUUAACUAGGCAUACACCGGUAAGGAUGAGGAGAAUGUGGGACGAUUUGACAGCAACAAGAUUUUACCAAAAAAAACAAAGGGCAAGUAAUAGAUGAUUUAGCAAACCAGUAAUGGGGAGAGCUCAAAAGCAGCAUUAUUUGCACCAUAGGAUCACCAAAAAGUUUAGGACCUGAUAACCUCAGGCACCUCUGAAAGUGGCGGUCCAGUGGAAAACAGAGGUCCUGGAAUUAGGAUUGGAGAAAACUUUUUAAACAGAUCCCCUCCCCCCGCUCUGACCCACCCCCUACUCUAGACUACUGACCAUCCCCCUUAAAGGAAAAAGACUGAGUUUUCCUUCUGGACAGGGUAAAACAGAAGGAAGAUUAAGCAUCUAUGUACAUACUAAGUAAUAAAACACUUCCACAACCCUA